rnacentral:rRNA from 1 species
CCUACGGGGGGCAGCAGUGAGGAAUAUUGGUCAAUGGUCGGGAGACUGAACCAGCCAAGCCGCGUGAGGGAUGAAGGUACAGAGUAUCGUAAACCUCUUUUGUCAGGGAACAAAGGCGGGGACGUGUCCCCGGAUGAGUGUACCUGAAGAAAAAGCAUCGGCUAACUCCGUGCCAGCAGCCGCGGUAAUACGGAGGAUGCGAGCGUUAUCCGGAUUUAUUGGGUUUAAAGGGUGCGCAGGCGGUCUGUUAAGUCAGCGGUCAAAGCGGGGGGCUCAACCCAGGACAGCCGUUGAAACUGGCAGUCUUGAGUUGGAGAGAGGUAUGCGGAAUGCGUGGUGUAGCGGUGAAAUGCAUAGAUAUCGCGAAGAACUCCGAUUGCGAAGGCAGCAUGCCGGCUCCAUACUGACGCUGAGGCACGAAAGCGUGGGUAUCGAACAGGAUUAGAUACCCGAGUAGUC